rnacentral:rRNA from 1 species
UACGUAGGCAGCGAGCGUUAAUCGGAAUUACUGGGCGUAAAGCGUGCGCAGGCGGUUCGUUGUGUCGGCGGUGAAAGCCCCGGGCUCAACCUGGGAAUGGCCGUUGAAACUGGCGAACUGGAGUGUGGCAGAGGGGGGUGGAAUUCCGCGUGUAGCAGUGAAAUGCGUAGAGAUGCGGAGGAACACCGAUGGCGAAGGCAGCCCCCUGGGCUGACACUGACGCUCAGGCACGAAAGCGUGGGGAGCAAACAGG